CCUUGCUCAAAAACAAAGUAACUUCUCUGUCAACCAAAGAAAGAAUAGAAGCAUACAAUGCCGAAUGGAAUACAAAGCCCAUAGUUUCAAAUAGAGGCAGAGACAGCUGGACAUUUGAGUCCUACAGGGAAAAGGAACCCCAAACCAUCCGUGCAUGCAUAUGUGGGGUGGGGGUGAUGGGUGGAAUAUUUAAUCAGUGUUUGUAAAGGUUGAAUUUAUAGGUUCUUUUACAAGAAAGAAGAGAGCUGCUUGGAGCUAAAUACCCCGAAGCAAAUAACCUACUGGAGAUGAAUAGAAGCUCUCUGCUGUAGAUGGGGUUUUCCUUCAUCCUGUCUACAUCACGUUUUUGUCAUUUGCCUCACAUCUAUAGCCUUUGGACUUCUCAUCUCUGCCAAAGGUAAUAGUAAAAACAAAUGAAUACCAUUAGUUUAGAAUUCCAAGCAGAAGUCAGCUGCUCAGGGCUCUGCACUUAGGUCACACCUGUUCUCCAUGGCAGAAACGUGGGCCAGAUGCUCCUUGAAGAAAGACUGCGACUGUGCAUGUCAACCACUACUUCUCAUACUGAAGCCUAGGAAGAAAUGUCAGAACUGGCCAAGGGAAGCUGACACCCUGCGAAACACACCCAGAUCCUGCUUUCCUAGGACAGAAAAAAUGACCUCUGGCCUCUCUUUGCAAACUUUAGUUAAGAGUUGGGAGUAAGAGAUUCAUGACCACCAAGAAAGGUAAGUUACUCACAUAUGUAUAGAUACAAUACUCUUAUUUUGUGCUCUUUUUUCUCCAAUCUUCAAUAAAUCACCUAAAAUAUAAUAAGACUUCUGUGCAGCCCGAUGGAGUAAACACUUCUGGAAUAAUUUUUCCUUCCCCAUUUCUCCAACAUCUUUCUUAUGACAUUUUUUUUUCCGAAAUUCAUUGGUCCUUG
rnacentral:lncRNA from 1 species